GUUAAUGUUAAUUGUUAAUUAAUGUUAAAAUUGUAACAUUACAGAGAAGAUUUUCAAGGCCCUUUGUAAAAGGAUGACCUGUGGAUUAUGGAGCAUUCUAUAUUUCU